CCACAGGGAAUUGGAGAAUGGGGAUCCGGUGCUGCUAAGAUUGGUCUAUUUGGAGACAGCAGCAGGACCAAAGGAGACUUCCAGCAGCUUCAGGGACAACGAGAAACACAGGUGUGGCGCUCUGUGAACCCUUUUGAGUUCACUGUCUUUCUCGCCAUUUCCUAGGGCCAUUGAAUGCAUGUUACAUGUCAGUAUAUUGGGAGCACUAGCAGAACCAGCAUGAUGCACUACAAGACCAGAAAAGAAAUUACAUCACACUGGCAAGAGCGUCAAGACUAUUGCAGAUUUAAAGAGAGGAGGAUGAAUGUUUUGUCAACCCACGGUUAGGUGUCUGGGGGCCAUUAACACUAGGAGCAGCUGUGAGACUGUUAUGAACAGCAAGCACUGACCACUGCAAAGCCUGUUGUUUUAGAUGCAUGAACUAGUAUUGUGUUCAAGGCUUUUUAAAAAAUAUUUUUAUUUUUCGUACUUGGACACAUGUUUUAUG